rnacentral:lncRNA from 1 species
AAAAAGACAGAUUAGGCUUUUCUCUUUAAUGUUACUCUGGUGAGAGUUGGCCCUGGGACGACGGUCCAUGGCUUUGGAGAGGGCAGUGCCUUUCUGACUUGGGUAUAAUGGAUCCACCCCUUUUCAGCAGUUCGGACUGCUCAGUUGUUAGGAGCACUAGGUAAGGUUCUUCUCAGGUGGGCUCAAGCUUUCCCUCUUUCCAGAUUUUGACAAGGAUGUGAUCUCUGGGUUGAUGUUGGUGGACUGGGAAUUUGAGAGGUGGUGUUUGCGCUAGGAGGCCUUGAAUCCUGAGGGAGGAAAGGGUGGAAGACAGACCAAAUACAUAGAUUUUGAGAAACUGAUUUUUCAUUUCAAAUGUAGAAAGGUCAGUAGUGGAAUUUAGGUAAGGCAACCCAUAGAGCAUUUCAUAAGGGGACAGGCCAAGGUCCUUUCAAGGGGCAGUCCGGAUUUUGAGUAAGGCAAUGGGAAGACAUUUUGUUCAUGGUAACCGAGUUUCCAGGAUUAACUUGGUUAGGUGAUUUUUUAAAGUUUGAUUCAUUCUUUCUGCUUUCCCUGAUGAGGACAGAUGCCAGAGAAUAUGAUAUUCCCAUUUUAUUUCUAAUGCCUAGGUUAGUCCUUUAAUGAUGUAUGCAGUGAAGUGGGUCCCAUUGUCUGAAUCAAUGUUUUCUAUUAGUCCAAACCUGGGUAUGAUGUGUUCUAACAGGGCUUUGACCACAUUACUGGCUGUUGUGCUUGGGAAGGGGAUGGCAUCUACCCAGUGGGUGAGGUAUUUUACUAUUACUAGCAAAUACUUGAGGUGGUCUAUUGGGGGCAUUUCAGUAUAGUCAGCCUGGACACUUCAGAAUGGCCUUGACCGUGGGUUCCUUCCUCCAGGAGGUUGCCUCUUUAGGGUUUGCUUAUUAGUCUUUCUGCACGCUAUGCAACCAUCCACUGCUUGCUUAGUGAGGGUGUAUAUUCCUGUGUAUUCAUAGACUCUAAGGACUGCAUCACACGUAGCUUGAGG